AACGAACGCUGGCGGCAGGCUUAACACAUGCAAGUCGAACGCAUCGCAAGAUGAGUGGCAGACGGGUGAGUAACGCGUGGGAACAUACCCUUUUCUACGGAGUAGCUCUGGGAAACUGGAAUUAAUACCGUAUACGCCCUACGGGGGAAAGAUUUAUCGGGGAAGGAUUGGCCCGCGUUGGAUUAGCUAGUUGGUGGGGUAAAGGCCUACCAAGGCGACGAUCCAUAGCUGGUCUGAGAGGAUGAUCAGCCACAUUGGGACUGAGACACGGCCCAAACUCCUACGGGAGGCAGCAGUGGGGAACAUUGGACAAUGGGCGCAAGCCUGAUCCAGCCAUGCCGCGUGAGUGAUGAAGGCCUUAGGGUUGUAAAGCUCUUUCACCGAUGAAGAUAAUGACGGUAGUCGGAGAAGAAGCCCCGGCUAACUUCGUGCCAGCCGCCGCUGUAACAC
rnacentral:rRNA from 1 species